UCUAAAGCUGAAUCAGCAUUCCACUGUUAAUGGAAAGUAGGGAGUAAAUUCCUAGAG
rnacentral:tRNA from 1 species